AGAAUGACUCUCGGCAACGGAUAUCUAGGCUCUUGCAUCGAUGAAGAACGUAGCGAAAUGCGAUACUUGGUGUGAAUUGCAGAAUCCCGUGAACCAUCGAGUCUUUGAACGCAAGUUGCGCCUGAAGCCAUCAGGUUGAGGGCACGUCUGCCUGGGCGUCACAU
rnacentral:rRNA from 1 species